rfam:Aspergillus aculeatus ATCC 16872 unplaced genomic scaffold ASPACscaffold_11, whole genome shotgun sequence.
GGUUGUGUAGUGUAGUGGUUAUCACUUUGGAUUUUGACCUCGCUUGCCUUCGGGCUAGGAAAUAUUCCAAUAACCCCGGUUCGAACCCGGGCACGACCU